AUUUUGCUAAAAAAGGUGAAUAUUGUGAAUGCUAAAAUUAAUUUACUGAUUAGUGAAGGAAAAGAGUACGUGAAAAUGAAUGUGUGUAAUUAAUGUGCAAGCGAAUGAAGUUGGUUGCAGCAAUCAGCAAGGUUUUACCUGUGUUGGAAGUCAAUAAACUCUUGCAAGGAGUGCCGUGAAUAAGUAAAACUAAAUGAACGACGUGAAAGUGAAAACCGAUAUUACCUAACAUUUUGUUAUUUCUCAAUCAAUAUUUAAAAUUACAACGGGAUGUGUAUUCAACUGCGACAAAAACGUGUCGUUGACAGGAGUGGCCCUCCAUAUGAACCCUGAGGCACCUGAGUAAGUACCCGUAUGUCCUAGUUAGCGAAACUAUAACUAUUGGUCUGAACAGCUUGUUGGAAUUUGUAUUUAUUACUAUCAAACGCCCUUGGUACACGUUCUUUGUACUAAUGUCAACCAAGUCGACAUUCUUUAAAGAUUUAUUUUUAAUUAUUGCUUUGUACAUGCAAGUAAAUCGAUGUUCAUUAUUUA